AGUGAACGCUGGCGGUAGGCCUAACACAUGCAAGUCGAACGGCAGCACAGUAAGAGCUUGCUCUUACGGGUGGCGAGUGGCGGACGGGUGAGGAAUACAUCGGAAUCUACUUUUUCGUGGGGGAUAACGUAGGGAAACUUACGCUAAUACCGCAUACGACCUACGGGUGAAAGCAGGGGAUCUUCGGACCUUGCGCGAUUGAAUGAGCCGAUGUCGGAUUAGCUAGUUGGCGGGGUAAAGGCCCACCAAGGCGACGAUCCGUAGCUGGUCUGAGAGGAUGAUCAGCGACACUGGAACUGAGACACGGUCCAGACUCCUACGGGAGGCAGAAGUGGGGAAUAUUGGACAAUGGGCGCAAGCCUGAUCCAGCCAUACCGCGUGGGUGAAGAAGGCCUUCGGGUUGUAAAGCCCUUUUGUUGGGAAAGAAAAGCAGCAGGUUAAUACCCCGCUGUUCUGACGGUACCCAAAGAAUAAGCACCGGCUAACUUCGU
rnacentral:rRNA from 1 species